rnacentral:tRNA from 1 species
GUUAGAGUAUUUUAAGAAAAAAGUAAAGCUUGCACCUUUAAAUUGGGUAUAUACCCCUCUAACU